rnacentral:tRNA from 1 species
GGAAGGUGGCCGAGUGGUCAAGGCGCUGGACAUUACAAUCAGGAUGUCGACACCGUUGUGGGUUCGAUCCUCAUGUGUGUCA